rnacentral:rRNA from 1 species
AUUGAACGCUGGCGGCAUGCCUUACACAUGCCAGUCGAACGGUAACAGGUUAAGCUGACGAGUGGCGAACGGGUGAGUAAUGUAUCGGAACGUGCCCAGUCGUGGGGGAUAACUGCUCGAAAGAGCAGCUAAUACCGCAUACGACCUGAGGGUGAAAGCGGGGGAUCGCAAGACCUCGCGCGAUUGGAGCGGCCGAUAUCAGAUUAGGUAGUUGGUGAGGUAAAGGCUCACCAAGCCGACGAUCUGUAGCUGGUCUGAGAGGACGACCAACCACACUGGGACUGAGACACGGCCCAGACUCCUACGGGAGGCAGCAGUGGGGAAUUUUGGACAAUGGGCGCAAGCCUGAUCCAGCCAUGCCGCGUGCGGGAAGAAGGCCUUCGGGUUGUAAACCGCUUUUGUCAGGGAAGAAAAGGUUCUGGCUAAUACCUGGGACUCAUGACGGUACCUGAAGAAUAAGCACCGGCUAACUACGUG